UGUGUAAUCCCUGCGUUCCACCUAAAGAAUCAGACCUCAUAAAAGCAAUGAGUUAAGCACCCGCUUAAAUGCCGAUGCAGCAUUUGCAGUUACAGGAGAAGGAGUGCAUGAGAGGCUGUGUGGGGCUGAUGGCUGAUGUUAAACCACAACAGGAUGAGAAAACACAAGAGAUGAGUAUCAGACGUAGUAAAACAAUCUAAGGAUGUCUUCUGGAAACAGUAAGAGAAAGCAACAAAGAAAUGGAGAACAGCCAGACUGCAAGCUGUGGGAGCAGCAGGAACUGAGGUGUCUGGUUGGGUGGUUAGCUCAACCUUUCUUGCAACAAAAGAAUGAAGUGACUUUGGAGAAGUUUCUGCUUCACAAGAACUUGGCACCAUGUUUUUACAGCAAACUUGCACAACACUGGCACCACAAAAAGGAAAGAUGUUACCCUCUAUGGAACCUGGGGGGAGUUACUUUUAUGCAGCAUGGAUGAGGGAGUGAAAACCAGCAGUGAACAGCUCUUGCUGAAGAGCUUUUUUUUGUCUCUUAUUCUAAAAUAAGCAAAGAGAUCCUGUGGAGCCCAAGCAUUUGGUCUGCUGGAAGGCAGGGUCUGCUCUGCUCACUUGCAAGGUAGGAUCAACAGAGGGGAGCUGCUUGUGGACAGCAUUUGAGUAGGGGGGCCUAGCCUGGGCAAAGGGCUGCAUGACUAACAGGAUCUGCUGCCUACUGUGAUACAACUGUUCUUCUCAUCUUGCUGUAUUUCCCCCAACAUCUAUCCAAUUUCAAGUAAGAACUUGCUUCAAUUAUGCUUUGUACAAGGUUUCCAUAAAUGGUGUCUCUUAGCAUAUCAGUGAAAUAUCAAUGACCUGGAAGAACCAGCUGGUUCAGUACCAUGCAAAAAAGCUCACUCUUCACGAAAGAAAAGCUUUUACUAGCUCGUUGUAUCUCCAAUACUCCAAUUUCUUCCAUGUCCUACAAAUACAUUUUUAUAGGUGAGAGACACAUAUGUGUGUAUAUAUAGCUUAGGGUUAGGGUCAUGUCUCUCUCCUGUAUGUCUCUCCAGCUGUGUUUCACUCAUUCCUGUGCAUACGUUACCUGUAGGUGAAGUCUAAAUUCUGCCUGGGUGACAGUGGACAAGGAAGGCCAGAUAAAGUUAUUCCACUAUUUCUGAUAUCUUUCAGUGUCAGAGACAGUGUUUGUAUAAUAUAAAAAUAAUAAGCUCAUUAAGAGGGCCAAAGAGCUGUUAGUUUAUCUGCAAAGAUCUGCUGGAGUAGCAGUUCUGGAGAACAAUCCCAUGUCCCAUUUACACAGUUGUAUUGCAAAGGCCACAGCCAGUGCCAGAGCAGAGUCCUUUGGUUGUUUCCAUCUGUGCUGCCUGGGAGGAGGUACAGCUGCCUGGGAGGAGAGGAGGUUCAGUGCCACAGCUGCAGAGUUAGAGGGUUUGUGUAUUGGAUGUGCCAGUGGGUGGUUGCAGAGGUGUAUCUGUGCUAUGUGUUUUCAUUUCUGUGUAAUGUGUUAUUAAAUCCCUAGACACACAGAAAUCCCCUCAGCUGUGAAGUGCUGAACCUAGCAGAGAACUCUGAAAAUGCAGAAAUGUAUUUGAGCCAUGCUUUUUACCUUCUCUAAACUGACCAUUGUUGGAGAUAGAUUACUUUCAAGGACAGACUCCUGGCUAGAGCCUGUCUGUCCAUUACUAUGCUUUCUUCUUCUACUUUGUUGCGAUGUGUUUGGGCUUUUAAUUAUAUAGGGAUUUUUUUCUUUUUUUCAGUCUUCUGAAGGAAAAUAGGUAGUGUCAAAGAGUUGUUGGGAGGAAGACCCUUGUAUAAACCAGCAAGGCAGCUAUGAAAAUAAUAAAUGUUUUAGUGCACUUCUCUUGUCAACUAAGUUGACAUACUGACCAGUAAAUGUCUACUGCCUCCAUUCUGACACUCUGUGUCGAUAAUGAGCUGAAUUUACAGAGAAAUGAAUCAUGUAGUAGAAGAGGUGCAGAUCCAUGCAAAGAAGCUGUAGAUGAAAUAAUAUGUCACCAUUCAAAGCCCACAUUUACUAAUAAAAGACUUGUUUUUCCCUGAAGACAAGUUUAGGGAGAAAAGUAACAGAAAAAAGUUCCUCUUGCAUCUGAAAAUAAAUACGCAUUUUGUUCUGAGAGCUCUGGAUUCUUCUCAGGACCCAGAGUUAAUCAGCAACAGAGAUUUCCUGGAGGAAAAGUUCAUUUCAAUUUCUACAAUCACGGUAGUGCACAGUUUGAGGGAGGGAUGCCAAUCCAAUGCUCUAGUUUAGUAGUGGGUAAUCAGAAACCAUUUGAAAUGUCCCAAAUCUAUAAAUUACACUGCAGUUGUUCCCUGCUAGCAUCAAGAUAAAACAAGUGUAAGUUACCCUCAGUGUUCCUACUGCUCAGGAUCGAGGGUAACAGAGGACAAGCGUGGAAGAGCUGGUACUGCUGCUGCCAGCAAUCUGUACUGCUGGGGGAAGCAGAGUCCACUUCUGCAGCGGGAUGAUUACCAGAAGCAUCCCUCAGAAACAAGUCUCAGCCAAAAAAUCAUCUGCAGAGACUGGAAUUACUCCCUUUGCCACAAUGGUCCCAGAUACACAGACAAGCAAAAGCAGAGGUUUGCAGGACCAAAGCAUUAGACUCUCUCAUACCCAAACCUCUACUGGAAGUUGCAAUCCCAUUGAUACCAUCAUCACUUUGGUCUGCUGCUUUACUGACUCACAUUCAUCAGACAGAUAGGAAUCAUACCUGACCUUUUAUUAAUACAGCCCAGAUUUGUAUUUCUUGAUAUGCAGAUGUGCUAUAUAUUAAGCAUUGUGCUUUUCAAUGCCUAAUCAAAACUAAAAUUCUUUUUAAUGAGUAGUGGGGGCAGCGGGGUGUGUAUGUGUGUGCAUGUGUGGUGUGCCACUUGCAGAUGCCUUGGAACAGACCAUGCAGGAAGCUGAGCAGGGCACUUCAUCACUUCUGCACAGCCAAUACUAAGCUGGGCAGUUCCCAUGAACAGGAGGAAAGAGUCUUCAUGCCAGCUUCUCUUAGAAGCACAGACAUGACAAUGAGGAUGACUUGGGGGUGCCUCAUUCAAAUCAGGAUCUCCAGUCCCCAUCACUGUCCUGGGAUAACCACCUACAUGCCCUCCCUUUCAAGAAGCUGAGCACAUCUCAUUUGGUUUUCAUUCUGCACAGCUGCUGGCCAUGAGGCCAUUUCUGUGUCGUUGCCUGGUGGUUACAACUCUGGAGGAAUGAACCUUGUCUCAGUUCUUACCUUUGCUUAAGACAGCUUUUCACCUUGCAGGAGAGCACCUAAUUAUGAGGAUCUUGUUCUAGGUCGGGUACAGUUUCUACAUUUUACAGUAGAUAUUUACAUGUCUAGGCAGUAAAAUAUAAGAACAUUUCUGGAAGUGGGUAUUGGAGUCCCAGACUAUUUUUUCCCAAAGGAAAAGCCUAAUUGCUGCUCCCAAAUAUUAAGUUGAAGAGCUUGCUCAACUUUUCUGUUUCUGUAGUCUAUUAAUCCUGCACUCUUUUCUGCAUGACAGCAGAUCUUUUAAAAGGGAUGCAGAGUGCUUAGUGGCCAGAACAGAUCCUGCAAUGAGGUAGCUGCAGGCUGUUUUGUUUGUGCUUAGGAAGGCAUCAAGCCUGACUCCUUCUGUGUGACUGAUCUGCCCAGUGAACUACUAUGUAAAAGGAAAUAUGAGCCCUUCCCCAUCUGCUCCUUAAAUGAAGGUAGGCAAUCAAUUCCCUCAGGCACAGCCCAAGCCAAAUGGUGUGUGCUGAGCAUGUCCUGGGAAUACUCACCCAGCUGAGCCCUGUAGAAAUGUUUAAACAUUUUGUUUUCUGAUUCAGUUCUGGAAUGAGUGUGAGCUGAGCUGCUCUUAUCAAAGGUGGGGGGAUUCUUCACCAGGCCAUGGACACAAUUACAGGUCCCUGAUUAACAUCAAAUUUAAAAGUGCGGCAUUUCUUGACGUACCUGACAAAUAAAGUGCAGUUUUCAAAGUAA